rnacentral:other from 1 species
GUACCUCUGCGCUGAGCGAGUGGCCUUAUGUUGCCUGAGCCGAUGCAUGUUGAAUGGGAGCUUGGCUAUAUCAAUGGUGUGAAUCCCGCUUGCUCGGGAUACCUAAAAUUGAUGUGCGGCGCCCCCCUCGUGUUCGAGGGUUCGACGACCUACUGCUAUUACGCCAGUGUGGAGGUGCU